CCUACGGGUGGCAGCAGUGGGGAAUAUUGGGCAAUGGGCGCAAGCCUGACCCAGCAACGCCGCGUGAAGGAAGAAGGCUUUCGGGUUGGAAACUUCUUUUCUGAGGGACGAAGAAAGUGACGGUACCUCAGGAAUAAGCCACGGCUAACUACGUGCCAGCAGCCGCGGUAAUACGGAGGUGGCAGGCGUUAUCCGGAUUUAUUGGGUUUAAAGGGCGUGUAGGCGGGAAAGCAAGUCAGAUGUGAAAACUCAGGGCUCAACCCUGAGCCUGCAUUUGAUACUGGUUUUCUUGAGUGAUGGUGAGGCAAUCGGAAUUCCGGGUGUAGCGGUGAAAUGCGUAGAUAUACCGAAGAACACCAGUGGCGAAGGCGGAUUACUGGACAGUCACUGACGCUGAGGCGCGAAAGCGUGGGGAGCAAACAGGAUUAGAUACCCGUGUAGUC
rnacentral:rRNA from 1 species